rnacentral:lncRNA from 1 species
UCUCUUCCACAGGUUCUCUGUUCUGCCGCCGCCGCUCAUCCUCUCUCCUCUGCAGCCACGCCGCCGCGAUUGCUCCUCCUCUGCAGCCGCCGCCGGUGCCGCUCCUCCCUGCUCCUCUUCUGUCACAGCGGCCACCACUCCUCCUCCUUGCUUUUCCUCUGCCACUGCCGCUGCUCUCUCCACUGCACCGCCAGAGCUCCGCCUCAGAUCGACCGCCUCAAGCCUCCGCCUCCCACAUCGACGGCCGUCGGAGACGGAGAGUCGGCAACAGGACCGCGACGGACAUCGUCCCUAUUCGACCCCGACCCUCGAUUCGGGACGAUGUCCCCGGGUCGCGGAACGCGGGCUCGACCCCGUUCCCGGUGACUAUGGUCAAUCAUAGUUGCAAGCUCAUCAGCGCAGACAUGCACACGAAAGCGCUAUACCAGGCGUGCGACACCAUGCGUUUGAAAAAGAAGGUUUGAUGCAGAUGAGGUAAUUUCCUACCAUCAAUCAAUUUACCCUAUCCCCAACGGUGACUAAGAUAGAUAAUCGAGGUAACAUAGACAAUGAUGUGACCACUAGAUGACAUGAUUGUGUCAUCUGGUACCUCCAGCAAAACCAGAUCGAGGACUAAUAAUGCACCAGUAUUUAGAAAUGAUGGACUUUCUACCAGAUUUGAAAUUUGAGGACGAAACACUAAACCGUGGCAAUAGUUAAGAGGACCGUAAUAGACUUUUUCCAUCCUAUAUCAUAACAAGAGACUGUACGCAGAUAAUAGGAAUUCCAAGUGACCAUUUGAAUUCUAGAUAACCAUCAAAGCCCUCUGAAGAAUAUAGAGUAUUAAGCUCGAAAAUUUCAUGUAUAUAUCUAAUUACAGUACUACUUUUUUAUUUGUUCAUGUGCAUUAAACUUAUCAACCCUACAUUAAAAAGAAUAUCCUAGCUCCAUCUAUCAGAUAUUUUCAAACAUGCAAAAGUACGGAAAAAGAUGCAAUUUGCCAACAAAAAAAAGGAUGCUCGAGAAUUUGAAUAUUUUUACCUUUCCCAAUGAAGCAUGUGGAUAAGCUGUUUCCGUAUCAACCCUGGUUGCAUCCAGAUGCUCUGUUCUCCGUGUAACAAAAUCAUUAGGGUCCAUUUUGCAAAGUAUGGAAAGAAUAAUUCAAGCCCAAACACUCACCACGUGAUCCAGGGUCAGAGAACAUUUUACAAUCAAAAGGACAGCUUCAAAAAGAAAUGGAUGAAAUAAAUAAAUAAUCAACAGUACAAUUGUAUAUUUGCAAACGAAUUGUUAUAUCAAAGCAAUGAAAAAUGAGUACUACAGGUUUCCAACGUCGAUUCCUUCUCCGGUAGGGAAAAAUCCACGGUCCUUAAGAAUAGAAGACACCCGUUCAAGGACCUCCACAUAGGGCACCUGCAUGAUCUGCAUGAAGUUUAAGACUGUCAUACAAGAUUGAAAAAACAAAAAGUCAUGCAAUACUAAAAACAGAUUACGGCAUAUAACUAAUGCUGGUCAAAAGAUCAUGAAACGAAUGGUCAAUUGCCUGUGCAAAGAUACCAAUAUAAAAUGACAUUGAGUAUAAAUGCAUUCAACUAUGGUCACGGUUUUAAACCAAGGUCUGAAAGGGUUUUCAGGCUUUACAAUACAAUAGUAAAAUCUAGACAAUUCAAUUGGGUGAGCAUCAAUCAUUGUAUCAAACACGUGUAUAUUUCAACUAAAUUGAACUGUCCUAAUUAUUCUAAUUUCUUUCUUAUAGUAUUGGUUACACAAAAUACAAGCACAAAAGUUAUUGGAACUUAACUUACCUUCAUUCUUUUCUUUUGGUUUUCUCAGUGGAAGUAUUAACUUUCUUCAAAUUUUCUAAUACAAGCUUCAAGACAAAGUUGAUGGUCCGCCAAACCCCCAAAAAAAAUCAAUUUAUGCUAGCCCAGCAAAAGAGAUUAAAAGAUGCUAUCAAACAAACAUUGAUUAUUUUUCAAUAUCUCAGUUUAUUCCAUUCAGAAGGUUUGUGCAAGAAUAAAGUACUAUAAAGAAUAUUUAUAGCCAUUUUUUUAGCUCAGAUUGCUGAGAUACUCUUAGAAGGUUAAGGGUGUACCUCUGAAUGUGUUUGAAUGUAUGCAUCAAGAUCUUCACCAGCUUUGGAAAUUAUAUUAACAAGCAAAGCAAUGCACUCAAGAGUUAAACUCGCCUCCAGCUCAUUCUGAUCCCUUCUUUUUUCUUUUAGGGCAACUGAACACUUCAUCAAACAAGUCAUGAUAGUGUCAAACCCAUCUGGCUCAGAAAAGCCUUUUCUCUUCUUGGACGAACCAACCUGACGGAUCUGCUCUUGACCUGCCAGGAGUAAAACUGCAGUCUGGACAAGCUUGCCAUCCUUCACAUAGUUCCAGAGCUCGUCAAGUAGAUUAUCCGUCUUUUUCGCGAGCAAUCUAGUCGUAUCCAAGAAAAUUUUCUGUAAAAGCACAACCAAGAAAAAAGAACACGGUGAAUUUCAGCAUAUCUAUGCGAGCAAGUGCUGAGGAGAUAUUUUAACAGCAAUUCAAAGUUCAUGACCCCUUUUCUGCAAACUUUAAAUAAAAAUGUGCCCACCGCAUGAACAAAUACAAAACAUAAGACAGGAAUACUAAGCUCAGUUUAUAAGUCUAUACAAGUGGUUUGCAACAAUGAAUGAACAUAACUGCUAUUCUUUGCCAGCUGCAAAUAAGUACAUUUUGUAGAAGUGAUGUGACUAACCAUUUCAGGUAGGCACAGGAGUUGGAUGAGCUUGUAGACAUAGUCUCGACGAUCCGGAUAAUCCUGGAAAGGCAAUAAACUGUCCUCCAG